UGUAAAGCCAAGUUCAAGGGUGUGUUAGAAAACUCACUGUCUGGGUCAGGUGGAAGGCAAGCCUGCCCGUGACAGCACGGUGACAUCCUCCUGCGGCAAAUGCUCAUUUCUGGAAAACUCCAAACCUUACUUAAAAUACAUAAUGUCGAGAAACGAUCAUAAAGUCAGUCCCUGGAGCCCUUGAGUGUUGGCGCUGCCUCCGUCCCCUCAGCGCUCGGCACACAGGAAGGACCAGCGAAUGGAUUUGCCUGAGCUAACAUCUGUGCCAAUCUUCCUCUAUUUUGUACGUGGGUCACCAUCACACCAUGGCUGACAAGUGGUAUAGGUCUGCGCCCAGGAUCCGAACCUGUGAACCCAGGCUGCUGAAGCAGAGCGCGCUGAGGAACUUUAACGGCUAAGCCAUGGGGCCGGCCCUAGUUCUCCAUUUUUUUGAUGAAGUAAUGGAAGUGCUGGGGCCAGAUGUUGAAUGAUUGGCCAUCAUUUGGGACCCAAACAACACUUCUUGGACAUUUAGGAUGUUUAUGAUUUUUCACAGUGAGAGCAUCCUCCAGUCUCUGCUUCUGUCGCCGUCGCAUUGUCCUCUCCUCGGCCCCAACUCCUGCCUCCCUCGCACAGGACUGUUGUGAUGAGAUCACGCCAUCAGGAUAAUCCAGGAUGAUCGCCUGUCUCAAGAUCCUGAACUUGAUCACAUCUGCAGAGUCCCUUUUCCCAUGCAAGGUCACAGUCAUGGGUCCCAAGGAUUCGGACAUGGACGUUUUUGGGGAGACAUUAUUCAGCUACCUCACCAUCAUGGACUGAAUGUCAUGCCCCC
rnacentral:lncRNA from 1 species